UUACAAUCAGACCAAUUAGCAGGUGGACAGCUGCUUUAAAGCGCGCGGACCCUACCGACCCACCCAACGUCUCUCGCGGUGGUUUCUCCAGUCUCGAGCCUUUUUUCUUUCCAAGCCCAACAUGUGUGUGCUGUCGGUCGGACUGCUGAGGGCCCCACGGGCUCUUGCUCCCAGGACGGGUGUACUGAUUCAACAGCGAGCAGGUUAUAUCAAUGGCAAACCACCUAAAGAUAACAUUGGUCCAGCGCAAACUGCCUUCGUGCUGGCUGUGAUGAGUCUGGCCAUCCUCGGACCUUCCGGUUGGAUACUUUCCCACUUGGAGCAUUAUAAAAGCCGUGAAUGAUGGACGAGGCCCUGAAGAACCGCUGACACUUGUUAAAGACAGCAUGCCUGCUGUUAAAUCUGCCUUUUGAACCCUUUCAGACGUUUUGCUAACAUAAUAAACUUGAGUUUGUUCUCUCUUA